UUAAAGGUGCCAACUUUAAUAUGAUAAAGAAAAAAAUCAAAAAAUAACUGAUCUAUAAAUUUCUGGCCUAAUAAUAAAAAUCAUCAUUAUCAUCAAGUAAAAGCGCAUGAAGUUCGGCCGGUUUUCAAAUAUCUAUGAGCUACAUCCCCAAAUGAUUUCAUAUGGACUGUUUUUAUCAUGGCUAUUAGAAGGCACAAGAAAAUACCACGUUCAAAAUUUCUGCCAAAUCGGAUAAUAAUUGGGCAAUUUCACGAAAAUUAACCCCCGUAGUCAACGCAGAGGGUAUGUAUGUUGACGAAAAGCCUUAUACUGGGCUAUUCACCUGCUUCUAAGCAACAUGAAAAGAUAUUUGGUUGUAUUUAUAAAUCUAGAACAAAUUAUCCCUAUGCUUGGUAGAGUAGACGAGAAUGAUAUGGAACAUGAACCAUUAUGCCAGAGUGUAGUGGAUAAUCGGCCAUUACAACACGACUUUAGAAAAAAGGAAAUUGCUUGCAAAUAGGUGUGAAUAAAUUCUCGGAUAAUAUCGUUAUCUCUGCCAUAAAGCUCAUAUGGGAUGGAUACUUUAAGUAAAUGCUGAUGCUCCAUAUUUCUGCUGCCGAGGGGUAGCAAAUAAAUCUUCCGUACGUAGUCAGGGAAA